UGGGGAAUCUUGCGCAAUGGGGGAAACCCUGACGCAGCAACGCCGCGUGGGUGAUGAAGGCCUUCGGGUCGUAAAGCCCUGUCAGGUGGGAAGAAACCCAUCGGUGCGAAUAGCACCGGUGAUUGACGGUACCACCGGAGGAAGCACCGGCUAACUCCGUGCCAGCAGCCGCGGUAAUACGGAGGGUGCAAGCGUUGUUCGGAAUUACUGGGCGUAAAGCGCGUGUAGGCGGUCGGGUAAGUCAGAUGUGAAAGCCCCCGGCUUAACUGGGGAACUGCAUUUGAAACUGCCUGGCUCGAGUUCGGGAGAGGAGAGUGGAAUUCCUGGUGUAGAGGUGAAAUUCGUAGAUAUCAGGAGGAACACCGGUGGCGAAGGCGGCUCUCUGGCCCGACACUGACGCUGAGACGCGAAAGCGUGGGGAGCAAACAGGAUUAGAUACCCUGGUAGUCCACGCCGUAAACGAUGGGCACUAGGUGUGGGAGGUAUUGACCCCUUCCGUGCCGAAGCUAGCGC
rnacentral:rRNA from 1 species